rnacentral:ribozyme from 1 species
UAAAUAGGGUAUUCUUACCUAGGGCUGUCCGUGGAACCAGGAAUUUGGUGCCUGAGGGGUCCUCAAGUCCGCAUCAAUCGGCCGAAUUGCGUAAGACCGACAGCAAGGUACAUCUUUGAGAGUCUUGUUGCAAGGAGGACAUGCCAAUCCGGAGAAUGGGGUGAGACUCCUCUGAAAUCCGGUGUCGCUUCAUUCCACGGGAAGCCCAAACAAAGUGAAACACGCGAGCAGUCGACGCGUUUGCGGUAUAUUAGCUUUGA